rnacentral:sRNA from 1 species
AGAGAUCUUGGAGGUCAAUGUAUCACAUAAACA